CGCGUAGGCGGAUAUGUAAGUGUCAGGUGAAAACCCCCGGCUUAACCGGGGAACUGCCUGACAAACUGCAUAUCUUGAGUCAAGUAGGGGUGUGUGGAACUCUUGGUGGAGCGGUGGAAUGCGUAGAUAUCAAGAGGAAUGCCGAAGGUGAAGACAGCACACUGGGCUUGCACUGACGCUGAGGCGCGAAAGCGUGGGGAGCGAACAGGAUUAGAUACCCUGGUAGUCC
rnacentral:rRNA from 1 species